UACGAAGGGGGCUAGCGUUGCUCGGAAUCACUGGGCGUAAAGCGCACGUAGGCGGAUUGUUAAGUCAGGGGUGAAAUCCUGGAGCUCAACUCCAGAACUGCCUUUGAUACUGGCGAUCUCGAGUCCGGGAGAGGUGAGUGGAACUGCGAGUGUAGAGGUGAAAUUCGUAGAUAUUCGCAAAAACACCAGUGGCGAAGGCGGCUCACUGGCCCGGUACUGACGCUGAGACGCGAAAGCGUGGGGAGCGAACAGG
rnacentral:rRNA from 1 species